ensembl:lncRNA
AAACUAACUUGGUUUUAAGCAUUUAGAACAUUUUAGAGAAUGUAAAGGAUUGCUGGCAAAAAUAAUAAAAUUAAAAUUUUAAGAUUUCUAUGUCCAUAUGGGACCACUGCACUGGAAUAAUUGCUCUUUGGUAUUUUUUUAUAUUUUUUUAUCUUAUGUUACCUAGAAGUCAGUGCAGUGAUAAAUCAUCAAAAAUGCCAAAUUAAAAGAAGGUGGUAUAUCUAGAUAUUUCAAAGGUAAGUAUAAGUGACCCUAAUCUAAUAAACAAGAUAAAAGAGAAUCAUAUUCCACACAUGGCUUCCACGGGAGUUGUGAAGAAAACUAAGCUGGCUACGGUAACUCGAUAGACACGACCAGAGCAUCAGGUUUACAUGUAAAGUCAAUGUAAAAGCAGAUUUGCUUCGCGAAAACGCAAAAACGCUUGAAACGCGCGUCACAGCAGUGCGUCUGGCGCGUUUGACUCGCGAAUAAAACCACGCGCCUCAGUUUUUGUGUUGCAUUUUGUGCAUACACGGGUAUCGCGUCUACCGCUCGAGUUGGAAAAAUCUGAACUCCAGCGUCAAUUCGCGCCGCGACAACCCAUCAGGAGCCUGGUGAUGUGGCUCUGACCUAGGUCAAAGGUGCAGAUCCAGCCAAAGCCCUUCAUACUUCAUUCAGUAUGGAGGAAAGGCUAAUCAACCACCCGGAGCUGUAUGACACCAGCUGCUUUCUGUACCGAGACAGGAAUAUAAAGGACGAGCUUGGAGGAAGAUAUGUGAAGAGAUCGGGCAACCUGUACAGCAUUGCAUUCUGCAGCCUGAUUGACAAAUCUCCUCCAUGUCGUGUCUCCUGCGCUUGCCAAAUUUAUCAUGUUUGGUUUUGAUAACCAUCACGUCCAAUAGAAAAAACAGCACAAAAACACCCAUAACUAUGACCUUCAUUCGGAAAUAGACACCUGCACCGCAAGGGAAAAAGGCGCACGAAAGUGGUGGGCAGAUGAAGACAAAAUGCGGCAUAAUAAUACUUUUACGUUUUGCAAUCUACAAAGGUUUGCACUUUGAGAAUCAACUUGUGAGAACUGUGACUAAUGUUCGUGUGUGUGGAAAAAAGUGUAUAAAGUGCGUGGCCAGGGGCUAGUUAUUCUGAGAACCCCUGCUGCAAUAAAGGAGGGACCACUGUAUAUACUUUCUCUAUGAUUAUUGUAUUCAACCUGUUAACAUUUAAUACUGUAUUGAUAGAACCAACUGAUUCUGCAGCAGAGCAUCCCCUGUUGCUUCUCCUGGCUCCCCAGUCCCUGAGCUCCUGCUGCUGCACCCACAGGUAUGUACAGCAAGCACUGAUAGCUCUUUACUCUGUGGGAUUGCCUGUGAUCACCUUUACUAAAUAUCUACAACCAAUCUGAUUAGAUCCUGUUUUUU